ensembl:lncRNA
AGUGGACACUAACUGCAUCUUAAGUCAGCAGGCACAAAUAGAUCAAGCUUAAUUAAGAGGAACAGAACAUCUUGGCAGGUUUGCUUUACUACUGGUACUGUUAUAAUUUAAUGAUCUAUGCAUAUGGAAAUGUGUGUAUUCCUGCACUUCUAGUAUAACUUACAGUUCUGCAAGAGCAUCCUGCAUACUAAACAAGUGAAACAUAUUCAGAGUAGAGUAUUAUUUUUUCAUUAUUCCCACAAAGGGCUGAUUAUAAGCAAUUGCAGAGUGAUAAUGCUCAAAGCAGAAUAGCUGUGGGCUGAACAGUAUUCAGAGCAGUACAGCUUUCAGAAAUUUAGUUAUUUCUUGCGUUUUCAAACUAGCAUCACUAGUUCCCUGCUCAAAGUAACGGGAUAAAGUCAAGUGUAGUUUUCCAACAACACAUUAUUACAUGGAAAUGUGCUGGAAGAAAACUGAGGUUAUACUGCUGAGAACAUGUUCUACUUUACAGAGCCAUUCUCUGGGCAAUGCUGCAUAAUUUAAGAGUGGGUAAAUAUGCCUUCAGGGACAACAGAACACAGAACAGAUGUUUGAAAAAAACAAACAAACAAACAAACAACCCAGAAGAAGCCUUGAAGCUUUGUCCACUCAUGCACUUACUCUUCCCUGGAAAAAUGUACAGGUACAUUCAGAUGUGUUAGUGAGUUAUAGAUCAGAUAUCACAAAGGCCUUUAAGGGUGAAUGUUUUAAAGGCAGUCUCCUUUGGACAGAAAAUAAAGGAAGUUGUCUCUGUCUUCCAGUUCCGAAGUACAGCAUCGUAUUUCUGAUCCUAACCCUAAAUCAAUAAUUAUUGAUCAAACUGACUAAGCUUUUUAGGUUGAUGAGCUCUCUACAAAGCAUUUCUGUUCUCCUCUUGAGCCUCUGCAGGGGCCAACAACUGGUGCUUAACUACUACUUCUACUGCAGAAGGUCACCUGUCCUCCAGCUGUCUCAGAAUCUUCUGGGACACUUGCACUUCUAAGAGAGCAACACUGCUAUGGGGGUAAUUCUCAAAAGUGCUAAAUACAGUGGAGCAAAUCCCCGUGGGCUGUACACUUUCUUAAGUCCUGCCCAGGUCUUAGUGGCAAAGUUGAGCAUGAAACCUGUACUGCCAAAAAUACCUGCCCCUUAAGAAGAAAGACAUCUGAAGGUGACUUUGAGGAAAGGAUGAUGUCUUCCACAUUCAACUCAUAAGCUUAAAAACAAACAAACAAAAGCAAGGAAAAAAAAAAAAAGUUGCGCUUCCACUAAAAAUCACCACCACUCUUAUCAAUUCAAACAACCGCUGUUAAUUCGGGCUAAAAUAUCUCCCCUGUGUAGCCCAAACUACCACCAUCACCAUCUGAAGAAUUUUUAAACAAAGACUCACCUGGAGACAGAUCUCUGCUAAGAGAGUACAUACUGCAAGGAAGACAGGUAAUCUGGCAAUGCAGUAUGAUGUUACUUUUCUAAUGACAAUUACUCCAGGACAAGGAAAAGACUGAGGCAGGGCUUUGGGGCAGUGUUUCAUGCUCAGCAAGCUUGCAGAGGGAAGGAAUGCAAUUCUAUGAAUCACUUGUACUGUAUUUCUGUUUCUAGACUUGAAUGAAUUUCACUUUUCCUUUGUGGGUCAGCAUAGUAAACAUUAAUGAAAAGGUCUAUUUUUAUAAAUCUCUUUCACCAGUUGAGAGGGCUGACCUGCAGCCACCAGAUAGACUUAUUUAUCCAUAGAGGACAGAAUGUUUAUUUUUACACUAAGAUUACUUACAGCAUUGAAUAAAACAAGGCCUUUGAUCUAAAUCUUAAUAGUAUCACCAAAUUGCAGAAGUAUGUAUGGUGGACAGUUCCAUGUUUCUUCCCAGUAAGUCUCUCAAAAGAAGUUACUCAGAAAUAAACUUCCAAAUGAAGUACAAGAGAUCCUUGUGAUCUAACUACAGGAAAUUUACGAACCAGGAGAAAACUCAAUAAAGUGAGCUAGAUCUCACUAGCUAAAAAAACCUGCAAAUGUAAAGUAAAUGGAAUGUUCUUGGGAUAUUGAGUUGCUUCCUCACGUGAUGCUGUACCCGGUACAUCUGGCUUCAUUUGGCUUCUGUGUUGUGGUUUAUAUGCCAGCCACUGUUAUAAAAACUGUACACAACACCUAUAUUUGCACUGUAAUCUUAAUUCAUUUGCCACUGAUUGUAACCCAAUGCUACAGACUUCUCUGUAUAUAAAACCAUAACCAUGUCCCACUUGCUUUCAAUAGCAUACAAUAAAGGCUUAUAUCUCUAUACUU